AUUGUAAGCAUAACUAAGGCAAUAUGUCAUAAUGUGAUUGUUCUCCCUGUUAUUUGAAGCAGUCGCCUGGAGGUUUUCUUAUCUUUUUUUUAAUUCGUUUCAUUUGAACAUCAAGACGAAACUGUAAGCCCUUAAGACCACUUCGAAAAAAACAGUUGCAUUCUCUGUAUGACAUUUUUAUGUCUACUGACUCGAGCUUUAUUCCCAAG
rnacentral:lncRNA from 1 species